rnacentral:tRNA from 1 species
GCGCCGCUAGCUCAGUUAGUUAGUGCAGCUGGCUCUUAUUCAGGCGGUCCGGGGUUCGAGUCCCUGGCGGCGCA